UACGGGGGGGGCAAGCGUUGUUCGGAAUUACUGGGCGUAAAGGGCUCGUAGGCGGCCAACUAAGUCAGACGUGAAAUCCCUCGGCUUAACCGGGGAACUGCGUCUGAUACUGGAUGGCUUGAGUUUGGGAGAGGGAUGCGGAAUUCCAGGUGUAGCGGUGAAAUGCGUAGAUAUCUGGAGGAACACCGGUGGCGAAGGCGGCGUUCUGGACUGCAACUGACACUGAGGAACGAAAGCCAGGGGAGCAAACGGG
rnacentral:rRNA from 1 species